GGACUCUUGAUUAGGCAGUACAUAUACUAAAAUUGAAAUGCUAUGUAGAACAUUAACAUGACCCCUGUAUGAAAAUAGCAGGCACAUUUUUGAAGUGUUCCAUAUUUUU